GCCAGACUCCUACGGGAGGCAGCAGUGGGGGAUAUUGCACAAUGGGGGGAACCCUGAUGCAGCGACGCCGCGUGGGUGAAGGAGCGUUUCGGCGCGUAAAGCCCUAUCGGCAGGGAAGAAGGAGGACGGUACCUGACUAAGAAGCCCCGGCUAACUACGUGCCAGCAGCCGCGGUAAUACGUAGGGGGCAAGCGUUAUCCGGAUUUACUGGGUGUAAAGGGGGCGCAGACGGCAGCGCAAGCCAGGAGUGAAAGCCCGGGGCCCAACCCCGGGACUGCUCUUGGAACUGCGCGGCUGGAGUGCAGGAGGGGCAGGCGGAAUUCCUGGUGUAGCGGUGAAAUGCGUAGAUAUCAGGAGGAACACCGGCGGCGAAGGCGGCCUGCUGGACUGCGACUGACGUUGAGGCCCGAAAGCGUGGGGAGCAAACAGGAUUAGAUACCCCAGUAGC
rnacentral:rRNA from 1 species